ACUCUUUCAAGUUUUCUGCACAGGUUUUGUUUUAGAACACACUGUUGUCCAUAUAUCUGUUUGGCAUUGCAUCUGAAACUACUUUUUGGUUAGCAUCUCUGACAAACACUUUCAGAUGCGUUUCCAAAGAGCAAUUUCGUACUGCCUUUUGAGCUCUUCUAUAUUUAUAACUGCUUCCAAUUGAUGUUGUGUCCACAAUUGCAUGGGUCACAGUAGCAUAGUUUUAAAAAUAAUAUCUUUUCCACAGGGAAUUGUGCUUAAAUUG
rnacentral:misc_RNA from 1 species